rfam:Medicago truncatula strain A17 chromosome 8, whole genome shotgun sequence.
UUGGAUGUGAAUUGAUUAUGUUUGGAUACACUUAUUUAAAAGUGAUUGGAUAAGCCUUUUAAUUGAUUUUGAACAU